ACCUCUGGGUCUCAGCUUCAUCAGAGGUAAGCGGAUCAUAAAAUUAUUUACCUCUUUUGGCUGUUGUGAAGAUGAAAUGCAUGUUCCAUUCUCAGCUGUCUCUAACUAACCAACAUGCCGUUGCUAUUAACGUCAUCCUGCAGCUGCAGGACUAUCUUUAAAUCUAGUUUGUUUAGAGGCGUCCGUAGCCACCAAAACCAUUAUUCUCUUUCUGUGACCACCUCUCCCCCUGCAGCCUCCUUCCCCAGCCCAGCCUGGAGGCCUGGCCACAGCCGUUGUCAUGGCAGCCGUUGGCUACAGGUCCUGCUGGGGUCAGACAGUUUUGCUGAGACAUUCCGAGUAAACUCCUUUUUGGUCAGGGUGGCUGGAGUCCCUAGGCCUGAAGUCAGGACACAUAAAACCCCUCUUUCCUUGUGAUCUCGAAGGUCCUCUAAGCCUGGCUUCAGCGAAGCCCUGGAGGGGAGUCAGUAGGAAGUGUUAGCUAACUUGAAGGCGAUUACUAAAGCCCAAAGACCUUAAAAGUUAGAAAAAGGCAAAGGACGCAAACGCCAUGUCUUAAAAUAGCUUUUUUGUUUUGUCGGAACAGCUACAGAAUUGUUAAGCCAACCACUUCUUGGAGGGGAAGGAGGUUUGGGGCCAAACACACAUUUCAGGGAAAAUAGCGGAAAAACAAUGGUUGAAAACGCUUUAUAUUUUUAAACAAGUGGUUUUACAUCUUUCGUGCUAAUUUCAUAACCACAGAUGGGAGGUAGGGGUGGACCUGAACCUUUUUACAUUCACAGAUGAUUUCUGAUAUUUCUAAUUAAUUUCUCCCCUUGGAUACCGUAAUUUUGGUAAAUCACAACGCAGUGCUUAACCGGUGCCUGGCUGAACUAGCUCACUGUCAAGGCUGUCUGGAUUAAUUUGCUGUUACAAUGUUUGUUUUCUUUAUAAAAAAAAUUCUAAUUAACAACAACAAAAAAAUAGGUCAACAAGCCAGUAAAUAUUUAAACAAGUGUCACGUUCUAUUUGAAAAGUUGUCUGGGAAGAGCUGGCAAUUUAUGAAUAAAUUACAGAUAGCAAACCCUCUCCUUGGACUUCCGGUUUUAAUCAGCUAUCUGGGCCUUUCUGGAAUGCAGGCUCUGUGAUUUGAUUUCAUGUCCCCCCCAACCCCUCCCCCUCUUCUAAAACUGGUGUGUGGCAAGGAAUUUCUUCCAGUCAAGUGAAAUGAAUUUGCAUUCAUUUGUUUUAUUAAACUGGAGAAGGUCUCCCUAAUCUUAAGCUAUUCAGAAAUCUGCUCCACCUGGCUUUGAGGGGCUUGCAAAACCAGCCAUAAUGAUCUCUGUGGAAAUGAAUCUGACUAGGAGUCAUGAGGUUGCCAGUUCGAUCCCUGAUCCCUGGCCUCGCUCAGUGGGUUAAGGAUCCAGUAUUGCCAUGAGCUGUGGUAUAGGUCGCAGAUGUGUCUUGGAUCUGGCAUUGCUGUGGCUCUGGCAUAGGCCAGCAGCUACAGCUCUGAUUCAACCCCUAGCCUGGGAGCCUCCAUACACCACAGGUGCGGCCCUAAAAAGACAAAAAAC
rnacentral:lncRNA from 1 species